rnacentral:rRNA from 1 species
UGGGGAAUAUUGCGCAAUGGGCGAAAGCCUGACGCAGCAACGCCGCGUGAGUGAUGAAGGUCUUCGGAUUGUAAACUCCUGUCAGAUGGGAAGAACGACUGUCGGCAAAUAGUCGAUAGUCUUGACUGUACCAUCGGAGGAAGCCCCGGCUAACUCUGUGCCAGCAGCCGCGGUAAUACAGAGGGGGCAAGCGUUAUUCGGAAUUAUUGGGCGUAAAGGGCGCGUAGGUGGCCUGGUAAGUCAACGGUGAAAUCCCUCAGCUCAACCGAGGAACUGCCUUUGAUACUGCCAGGCUUGAGGCCGGGAGAGGGUAGCGGAAUUCCCAGUGUAGCGGUGAAAUGCGUAGAUAUUGGGAGGAACACCGGUGGCGAAGGCGGCUACCUGGACCGGUUCUGACACUGAGGCGCGAAAGCGUGGGGAUCAAACAGGAUUAGAUACCCCAGUAGUCCCUGAGCGGGCUGGCAAGGCGCAU